rnacentral:tRNA from 1 species
GCCUCGGUAGCUCAGCUCGGUGGAGCGCGAGACUCGUAAUCUCGCGGUCGAGGGUUCGAAUCCCUCCCGAGGCUCCA